AACAACUGGCAUAGAACUCAUUUUACUUAUUACAUUGUGAGCCCUUUAAGGUUAGAGAUAUGUCUUUUCUGUCUCAGGCACCUCAAGUUUUAAUAUGAUGUUUGGAACAAAAGAGCUCAACAAAUGUAAAUUUCAAAUUCAGAGGAAAAAAAAGACGUGACUCAAUCUUCAGGAAAAAUUAUUUUGCAUUUAGAAUGUUAUAAAUCAAGUACAGCUAAACUAAGAAAGCAAUGCAGUAGAUUUACAUAUGAGGACCCUGCCGCACAUUUACAAUUAUGGAUCAUCCACAUCCAAGUAAAUACACCAGAGUUUUCCUAAGAUGGGCAGAACAAACUCCACAACAAAGUUAAGAGAAGAAACUGUAUCUGAAUGUUUCAGAAGGAGUCAGAAGUGGCCCAAGGAAAAUUUGAAUAUUGAAAAUCUCCAAAAUUAACUGCCAACUGUUGAAGGGAAUCAAAACACAUGGUAUUAAUAUCUGCCACUCUAUAUACUUUGGACAACAUGGCUGAUAAUAUUGAAAUCCAAUGAUGGUAAAACUGGAACCAUUUUAACAAAACAAAACAAGAGAGAGAUCAGAAAACCAGUGUUAAAAGCCAGCCCAGAAGAUAUUAUGGCUUCUUUGAGUACCUGGUCAAGUUGCCCAAGGUAAUAAUUAACUAGCAGUAGACACACCAUUAGUUUUCCUCGAAAACAGAAGCCAUAGAAGUGGGGCUCUUGAAACUUUAACUAUGGAGAGGUAUGAAGGCAUAAAGGUUUUGAAAACAUUCCCUGUAAUAUAAAUGGGGAUCCUUUCGCCAUCUUUAGGAUUACUUCAAUGAAACCAUUAAAAGAAAAGAAUAAAGGAUGGGACCUUAUGAGAAGUAAGCUCUAAAUAUAUCUGUGGCCUACAAAACAAGGAAAGGUAUGAGUUAUGAAGCCUUGGAAAGAAAAGACCAAAAUAAGUGACAAUAAAGAUGAAAGACUAGAAGAAAAGGGAAAAGUGAGGAGAAAGAGGAGCUUAAAAAGGAGAAACAAAAGACUCAGGCAGAGGAAGGAAGAAAU